rnacentral:lncRNA from 10 species
CUCCGGUGUCAUUUCUCAUGCAUCUGUUUAUUCUACCCAAUUAGACUCAGAGCUUUGCAGUCAAAGAUUUUCUUCAUCUCAACUCACCUCACCACUACGGAUCCAAGCCUGACACAGAGCCUAACAGAAAUACUUUCCUCCAAAUACAAUCCUGUUCACCAUGGAAGACAUUAAAACCUUCAGUGGUUGCUGCUGGGGGCCUUCACCAAAAUGCAGCCAUUCACCUUGCUGCUGGGGGCCUUCACCAAAAUGCAGCCAUUCACCUUUGCUUUUGCUCUACCUACAAAAAAUGUUCAUUGGCUCACUCCCGAGGUCAACUUUGAUUCAAAGAUAGUCUUCAGUUACCAAACCUUAUCACAUGACUGUAAAACUAGAUAAUAAACAAGUGUUUAAAAUAUGUACUU